UAACGAAGCAUUGCUGUGGAAAUGGUUUCUUCUCUCUCUGAAUCAGUGAAACCCUAUUACACACUGUCUCCAUUGUGCAGAAAGCAGACCGCCCAGGCAAGACCGUCACACAA